UGAGGGCCUGCAAGAAAUUGUCGUCUUGUUAAGGCUCAACUGCAUCCUUUGAUUCAAGCCGAGUCUUCCGUUAUCGUCGAUGUCCUUUACCGACCGGAAUACCUUUUCCAGCCUGGCACGGAAGCACGGAAAAAGUGUGACAAUGGUGGAUUCAUUCGCAGGUUGAUUAAACACACUGAAUGAUUGCUGGAGGACAAGGAGGAAAAACUUUGCAUCCAAGUUCUCAACACCUUACGUCAGAUGAUGAAUUUCGAUGUUCACAAUGGCGAAAAGGGAGACGCAUUGAGGAAGAAUCUUUUAGUUCGCUACUUUGCCAAACCAACCUCGCAUAGUU